GACGAACGCUGGCGGCGUGCUUAACACAUGCAAGUCGAACGGAAAGGCCCUGCUUUUGUGGGUUGCUCGAGUGGCGAACGGGUGAGUAACACGUGAGUAACCUGCCCUUGACUUUGGGAUAACUUCAGGAAACUGGGGCUAAUACCGGAUAGGAGCUCCUGCUGCAUGGUGGGGGUUGGAAAGUUUCGGCGGUUGGGGAUGGACUCGCGGCUUAUCAGCUUGUUGGUGGGGUAGUGGCUUACCAAGGCUUUGACGGGUAGCCGGCCUGAGAGGGUGACCGGCCACAUUGGGACUGAGAUACGGCCCAGACUCCUACGGGAGGCAGCAGUGGGGAAUAUUGCACAAUGGGCGGAAGCCUGAUGCAGCAACGCCGCGUGCGGGAUGACGGCCGUCGGGUUGUAAACCGCUUUCGCCUGUGACGAAGCGUGAGUGACGGUAAUGGGUAAAGAAGCACCGGCUAACUACGUG
rnacentral:rRNA from 1 species